CACGUAGGGCGCGAGCGUUGUCCGGAAUUAUUGGGCGUAAAGAGCUCGUAGGCGGCCUGUUGCGUCCGCUGUGAAAGCCCGGGGCUUAACCCCGAGUCUGCCAUGCGAACUGGUGGACUGGAGCACUGUAGAGGCAGGUGGAAUUCCGGGUGUAGCGGUGGAAUGCGUAGAGAUCCGGAAGAACACCAGUGGCGAAGGCGGCCUGCUGGGCAGUUGCUGACGCUGAGGCGCGACAGCGUGGGGAGCAAACAGG
rnacentral:rRNA from 1 species